rnacentral:rRNA from 1 species
GAUGAACGCUGGCGGCGUGCCCAAUACAUGCAAGUCGAGCGAAUGGAUUAAGAGCUUGCUCUUAUGAGGUUAGCGGCGGACGGGUGAGUAACACGUGGGUAACCUGCCCAUAAGACUGGGAUAACUCCGGGAAACCGGGGCUAAUACCGGAUAACAUUUUGAACCGCAUGGUUCGAAAUUGAAAGGCGGCUUCGGCUGUCACUUAUGGAUGGACCCGCGUCGCAUUAGCUAGUUGGUGAGGUAACGGCUCACCAAGGCAACGAUGCGUAGCCGACCUGAGAGGGUGAUCGGCCACACUGGGACUGAGACACGGCCCAGACUCCUACGGGAGGCAGCAGUAGGGAAUCUUCCGCAAUGGACGAAAGUCUGACGGAGCAACGCCGCGUGAGUGAUGAAGGCUUUCGGGUCGUAAAACUCUGUUGUUAGGGAAGAACAAGUGCUAGUUGAAUAAGCUGGCACCUUGACGGUGCCUAACCAGAAAGCCACGGCUAACUACGUGCCAGCCGCCGCGGUAA